rnacentral:rRNA from 1 species
AAUAGAUACCCGGGUAGUCCACGCCGUAAACGAUGAAUACUAGGUGUAGGAGGUAUCGACUCCUUCUGUGCCGCAGUUAACACGAUAAGUAUUCCGCCUGGGGAGUACGGUCGCAAGAUUAAAACUCAAAGGAAUUGACGGGGGCCCGCACAAGCAGCGGAGCAUGUGGUUUAAUUCGAAGCAACGCGAAGAACCUUACCUAGACUUGACAUCCCCUGAAUUACUCGUAACGGAGGAAGCCCUUCGGGGCAGGGAGACAGGUGGUGCAUGGUUGUCGUCAGCUCGUGUCGUGAGAUGUUGGGUUAAGUCCCGCAACGAGCGCAACCCUUAUUAUUAGUUGCUACCAUUAAGUUGAGCACUCUAAUGAGACUGCCCGGGUUAACCGGGAGGAAGGUGGGGAUGACGUCAAAUCAUCAUGCCCCUUAUGUCUAGGGCUACACACGUGCUACAAUGGUUGGUACAACGAGACGCAAGACCGUGAGGUGGAGCAAAACUCAAAACCAUCCCAGUUCGGAUUGUAGGCUGAAACUCGCCUACAUGAAGCCGGAGUUGUAC